UACGUAGGGUGCGAGCGUUUGUCCGGAAUUACUGGGCGUAAAGAGCUUGUAGGUGGUUUUGUCGCGUUGUUCGUGAAAUCUCACGGCUUAACUGUGAGCGUGCGGGCGAUACGGGGCAGACUAGAGUACUGCAGGGGAGACUGGAAUUCCUGGUGUAGCGGUGAAAUGCGCAGAUAUCAGGAGGAACACCGGUGGCGAAGGCGG
rnacentral:rRNA from 1 species